UGAGCUUGACUGAUUAGCUUGAUAGACUAGUUCAGUACAGUGCAGUUCUGCCAGGUGUUCAGUGAAAUAAUUGCUGCUGCCGCUAGUCUGGUGGCACUGAGUGGGACAGGAGGGGAGGAAUGCGAGGCGGAAGCUCGGCUGGAGACUGCAGCGCUGAAGGCUACAGCCUUGUGGAAAAGGCGGCACUUUGAGAGAGUAAGCUAGGCACUCUGUCCGAAUGGCUGCCACGGGAGAUUUGAUGACUUCUCAAAGAUGCAUGACGGAAUACUCCAGGGGGACAAGCAGGAGGCCGGCAUGUCUAAAACCCCUCAGGGUCUGCCAAGGGCCUCUUCAAUCCUACUACAAGUAUAUGGAGCUAUUACUGCAGCAUAAAGUGGAACACCUGUGCCUUCAACAAGGUUUGCGGUCGCCUGAACAUGUUUGAGGAA